GUGAAGGCCACAGCAUCUGAUUCACAUCAUGUCAUCCUCAUCAGACCAGUCAGUGACGCCUCGUGUCCUGUGGACCCUGGAGCAGACCGCUCCCAUCAGGACAGAAAUGUUUCAUCACAGGCACUGCGCUGGUCCAGAUUGUAACCCCUAUUUCUGCCUCCAAAAACCUGCCUUGGAGGAGCAUCCACGGAGGGAUUAGGGAUUUAGUGGGGAAGAAAACCAGGCCAUGAAAGCAGAAGAAUAAGAAAUCCUGGCUAUCAUCAUCUCUGCUUCUCCUUCCUUCCCUUGCUCUCUUUUGCCUGGCAGCUCUGGGAGACAGAUGACAAGGGUUUGUGGCCGUCUGAUCACCCCUAGAGCCAGUUGAUGCCGUCUGUGGCUGCAGCAGCUCCACAUACCCAGCCUGUCUGUCUCCAUGAAGCCCCCUGAGGUGCCACCAAUCAUCCUGUUUCAGUAAGAAGAGCGACAGGGAGAAGAACCAGGCCGCGCUCACGUCAGCUCCGUGACAUUGAAGUGACCGUGACACCGCAGCAAACUGGUGAUGACUGAUGCCUCUUUGCCUCCUGCCGUCAGGCCGAGUUGUCUGGCCUCUGGACGACUGUAAUUGCACCGACAGGUGACACGCAUGUGGAAACCAGAAGAUGAAGAGGAGACUACUUAGAUCAUGUGACCUGCACCUCACAUGCCUCCUCCAAGCAACUUUAUCGCCACCUCCUAAGAACUUGUCCACCCUUGGUGCCCUUCGUGACAGCACCUGGAGAGAUGGCUGCUACUGAACUGAACCAGUGUAGUAGUGCAGUGGCAACCUGCUCACUGGGGCGACACCACACCUCAGCAUAGAAUAGUUAAAUGUCUUUACAGGUAAGGGGCUUCACAUGAACUCAUCUGUCAGGCCAAUGCUUCAAGGCUAUGCAGAACCUCUUUGGCGAAGUCAGGUUGUGAUGUAUUGAUAUGGACACUCUCCGUCCUUGUUGCUUUUGUGCAAUGCACUGCUGACUGCAAGGUACCAGUAAUGCAAUGCCCGCUAAA